GACGAACGCUGGCGGCGUGCCUAAUACAUGCAAGUAGAACGCUGAAGAGAGGAGCUUGCUCUUCUUGGAUGAGUUGCGAACGGGUGAGUAACGCGUAGGUAACCUGCCUUGUAGCGGGGGAUAACUAUUGGAAACGAUAGCUAAUACCGCGUAACAAUGAAUGACACAUGUCAUUUAUUUGAAAGGGGCAAUUGCUCCACUACAAGAUGGACCUGCGUUGUAUUAGCUAGUAGGUGAGGUAACGGCUCACCUAGGCGACGAUACAUAGCCGACCUGAGAGGGUGAUCGGCCACACUGGGACUGAGACACGGCCCAGACUCCUACGGGAGGCAGCAGUAGGGAAUCUUCGGCAAUGGGGGCAACCCUGACCGAGCAACGCCGCGUGAGUGAAGAAGGUUUUCGGAUCGUAAAGCUCUGUUGUAAGUCAAGAACGAGUGUGAGAGUGGAAAGUUCACACUGUGACGGUAGCUUACCAGAAAGGGACGGCUAACUACGUGCCAGCAGCCGCGGUAAUACGUAGGUCCCGAGCGUUGUCCGGAUCUAUUGGGCGUAAAGCGAGCGCAGGCGGUUUGAUAAGUCUGAAGUUAAAGGCUGUGGCUCAACCAUAGUUCGCUUUGGAAACUGUCAAACUUGAGUGCAGAAGGGGAGAGUGGAAUUCCAUGUGUAGCGGUGAAAUGCGUAGAUAUAUGGAGGAACACCGGUGGCGAAAGCGGCUCUCUGGUCUGUAACUGACGCUGAGGCUCGAAAGCGUGGGGAGCGAACAGG
rnacentral:rRNA from 1 species